ensembl:snRNA U6 U6 spliceosomal RNA
GUGCUCACUUUGGCAGCAUGUAUACUGAAACUGGAACGAUACAGAGAAGAUUAGCAUGACCCCUAUGCAAGGAUGAAAAUAUACAAAAGCAAAAAAUUUAC